AAACUGCCAAAAAAUCCAAAGUCAGUGUGACGGCCACACUGCCCACCCCAUUCAACCUUUUUGUAAAGGACAAUGCUGCUGCCUUUAAGAACGCUGAUGGGCAACUUGACUUUGUCACUUAUGGUGCCAAGUGGCAAGAGGCCAAAGCCAGUGGGGGUGAUCGUUGACACGUGUGACCUACCUGAUGAAGAAGGCCCAUUUCAUAACAGAAGAAUUGGGCAAACUUGGCAUUGAUGGAUACUUCCUGGGAAUAGAUCAGGUGACCGACACAAAGAAGGUGCACUACUUGUACUCUAGUGAUCAACUCCUGCACUUCUUCAGGACUUGUCAUCCUGCUGAC